rnacentral:rRNA from 1 species
GACGAACGCUGGCGGCGUGCCUAAUACAUGCAAGUCGAGCGGGGUUGUCGGAGUGGAGUCCUUCGGGAUGAAGCACCGCCAACCUAGCGGCGGACGGGUGAGUAACGCGUGGGUAACCUGCCCUAAAGCCCGGGAUAACACCGGGAAACUGGUGCUAACACCGGAUACCUUCCGAAGAGGGCAUCCUUUUUGGAAGAAAGGUUAACGCUUUAGGAUGGGCCCGCGUCCCAUUAGCUAGUUGGUGAGGUAACGGCUCACCAAGGCAGUGAUGGGUAGCCGGCCUGAGAGGGUGGACGGCCACACUGGGACUGAGACACGGCCCAGACUCCUACGGGAGGCAGCAGUAGGGAAUAUUGCGCAAUGGGCGAAAGCCUGACGCAGCGACGCCGCGUGGGUGAUGAAGGCCUUCGGGUUGUAAAACCCUGUCCUUGGGGAAGAAGGAAGUGACGGUACCCAAGGAGGAAGCCCCGGCUAACUACGUGCCAGCAGCCGCGGUAAAACGUAGGGGGCGAGCGUUGUCCGGAAUUACUGGGCGUAAAGGGUGCGUAGGCGGCCUUUUAAGUCAGAUGUG